UGAAAAAUGUAUUCCACACAUGGAUGGAGACGAUUAAAGAGAACACUGAUGCUGAGAUCUGUCCCCUGCUGCUCUGGGUGUGAUUUCCCAGAGCCCAAGAAUAACAGAACUUGCUGCCCAUGACAGGCAGGGAAUCGUCCCUUUUAGAGGGACACAUGGGCCAAACAGGAAACUGAGGGAUGCCUCAGCCUAGUACCCACAGAUGGUAUUACAGGUUCUCAGGCUCUGCCCAUGCCCCUGACCAUCCCUUUCCCGGUUUUCAUACGGAAAGAGACACAAGCCGAGAGGCAGAAGAUUGUGGCCGAGUUUCAGCAGCAGUUCCUGGAGGAACAAGAGCGACUCCUGCUGGCCCAGCUUCUCGCUGGAUGAGGAGACUGGGAGGCUCCAGACUGACGCUGACGGGAAACUCUCUGUGCAGAUUUCCCGUCUCAGUGAGCUGAUUGGUGAGCUGGAGGGGAAGUGUCAGAAGCCAGCGAGUGAAUUCCUGCAGGACAUGAGAAGCACCCUGAGCAGGUGUGAGACGGGGCCGUUCCAGCCGCCAGAGGAGAUUUCUCCUGAACUGGGCGAGCGAGUCAGAGGUUUCUCCCAGCAAACGACUGCACUGUCGGAGACUCUGAGGG